rnacentral:tRNA from 1 species
CUUUUAAAGGAUAACAGCUAAUCCACUGGUCUUAGGAG